rnacentral:rRNA from 1 species
AUGUUGAUGGUACACUACCGUGCCCUUCGUCGUAUCAUCCGGCGCAUCAUGCUUGGGUGGCCCAAGAUCAAGCCAUUCUCUCUGCUAUUCAGUCCUCUCUCAUGGAGGGAGUCUUGUUGCUGGUCAUCUUCGCCGCUACGUCUCGGGACGCGUGGACAGCUCUUCAUACUAGUUUUGCUUCGCAGUCCCAGGCGCGUGCUCACCGUCAUCGACUACUUCAAUAAGGUGACAGGUAUGGCUGACACACUUGCCUCCAUCUGCUAG